rnacentral:rRNA from 1 species
CCUACGGGUGACAGCAGUAGGGAAUAUUGCACAAUGGGCGAAAGCCUGAUGCAGCAACGCCGCGUGGGGGAUGAAGUAUUUAGGUAUGUAAAGCUCUAUCGGCAGGGAAGAUAGUGACGGUACCUCAGGAAUAAGCCACGGCUAACUCCGUGCCAGCAGCCGCGGUAAUACGGAGGUGGCAAGCGUUACUCGGAAUUACUGGGUGUAAAGGGUGUGCAGGCGGGAAAGUAAGUCAGAUGUGAAAACCUAGAGCUCAACUCUGGGCCUGCAUUUGAAACUGUUUGUCUUGAGUGCUGGAGAGGUAGGUGGAAUUCUUGGUGUAGGGGUGAAAUCCGUAGAUAUCCAGAGGAAUACUCGUGGCGAAGGCGAACUGCUGGAAAGUAACUGACGCUCAGGCGCGAAAGCGUGGGGAGCAAACAGGAUUAGAUACCCCUGUAGUC